UACAGAGGGUGCAAGCGUUAAUCGGAAUUACUGGGCGUAAAGAGUGCGUAGGUGGUUAAAUAAGUUAGAUGUGAAAUCCCUGGGCUUAACCUAGGAACUGCGUUUAAUACUAUUUGACUAGAGUAUUGUAGAGGAAAGUGGAAUUUCCGGUGUAGCGGUGAAAUGCGUAGAUAUCGGAAGGAACACCAGUGGCGAAGGCGACUUUCUGGACAUAUACUGACACUGAGGUACGAAAGCGUGGGGAGCAAACAGGAUUAGAUACCCCAGUAGU
rnacentral:rRNA from 1 species